AGAAUCAACGCUGGCGGCGUGCCUAACACAUGCAAGUCGAACGCGAAAGUGGAGCAAUCCAUGAGUAGAGUGGCGAACGGGUGAGUAACGCGUGGGUGACCUACCUCUGAGUGGGGGAUAACGGUCCCGAAAGGGACGCUAAUAACCGCAUAACAUCCUGCCUUUGAACAGGCGGUGAUCAAAGCCGGGAUCGCAAGACCUGGCGCUUGAAGAGGGGCCCGCGUUCCGAUUAGCUAGUUGGUGAGGUAACGCCCACAAGGCGACGAU
rnacentral:rRNA from 1 species